rnacentral:rRNA from 1 species
AUUGAACGCUGGCGGCAUGCCUUACACAUGCAAGUCGAACGUGAAAGGGGGCAACCCCGAGUAGAGUGGCGAACGGGUGAGUAAUGCAUCGGAACGUGCCCAGUAGUGGGGGACAACCUCGAGAAAUCGAGGCUAAUACCGCAUACGACCUACGGGUGAAAGCGGGGGACCGCGAGGCCUCGCGCUAUUGGAGCGGCCGAUGUCCGAUUAGCUUGUUGGUAGGGUAACGGCCUACCAAGGCGACGAUCGGUAGCUGGUCUGAGAGGACGACCAGCCACACUGGGACUGAGACACGGCCCAGACUCCUACGGGAGGCAGCAGUGGGGAAUUUUGGACAAUGGGGGCAACCCUGAUCCAGCCAUGCCGCGUGCGGGAAGAAGGCCUUCGGGUUGUAAACCGCUUUCGGCCGGAACGAAAUCGCCGGGGAUAACACCCCCGGUGGAUGACGGUACCGGAAGAAGAAGCACCGGCUAACUACGUGCCAGCAGCCGCCGUAACAC